rnacentral:tRNA from 2 species
GGAGAGGUGGCCGAGCUGGCUUAAGGCGGCGGUCUCGAAAAUCGCUUCACGUUUAUCGUGACGGGGGUUCGAAUCCCUCCCUCUCCGC